rnacentral:rRNA from 1 species
ACUCUAAGCGGUGGAUCACUCGGCUCAUGGGUCGAUGAAGAACGCAGCAAACUGUGCGUCAUCGUGUGAACUGCAGGACACAUGAACAUCGACAUUUUGAACGCAUAUCGCAGUCCAUGCUGUUAUGUACUUUAAUUAAUUUUAUAGUGCUGCUUGGACUACAUAUGGUUGAGGGUUGUAAGACUAUGCUAAUUAAGUUGCUUAUAAAUUUUUAUAAGCAUAUGGUAUAUUAUUGGAUAAAUAUAAUAAUUUUUAUUCAUAAUAUUAAAAAAUAAAUGAAAAACAUUAUCUCACAUUUGAAUGUGAAAAACGAAGAGAAAUAUUUUCUUUUUCAAUCAAAUAAUACUGAGAAAUGUCUAGCAUAAAAAAUUGAAAUAUUUUUCAUCUAGAAUUGUCUCUUAUUAAUGAUUCGGAAAUAGAAAAAUCUUGGUUAUGUUAUUAUUCUUCGUUGGUUCGUUAAAAAUGGAUAAAUAAAAACUUUGCAUACAAGAAUUAAUAAAAAUGUUAUAACGAAUUUAAUUAAAUGUUUUAUCAUUAUAUAUAAAGAAUUUAUGGCAAGAUAAAGUUAUAUACAACCUCAACUCAUAUGGGACUACCCCCUGAAUUUAAGCAUAUUAAUUAGGGGAGGAAAAGAAACUAACAAGGAUUUUCUUAGUAGCGGCGAGCGAAAAGAAAACAGUUCAGCACUAAGUCACUUUGUCUAUAUGGCAAAUGUGAGAUGCAGUGUAUGGAGCGUCAAUAUUCUAGUAUGAGAAAUUAACGAUUUAAGUCCUUCUUAAAUGAGGCCAUUUACCCAUAGAGGGUGCCAGGCCCGUAUAACGUUAAUGAUUACUAGAUGAUGUUUCCAAAGAGUCGUGUUGCUUGAUAGUGCAGCACUAAGUGGGUGGUAAACUCCAUCUAAAACUAAAUAUAACCAUGAGACCGAUAGUAAACAAGUACCGUGAGGGAAAGUUGAAAAGAACUCUGAAUAGAGAGUUAAACAGUACGUGAAACUGCUUAGAGGUUAAGCCCGAUGAACCUGAAUAUCCGUUAUGGAAAAUUCAUCAUUAAAAUUGUAAUAUUUAAAUAAUAUUAUGAGAAUAGUGUGCAUUUUUUCCAUAUAAGGACAUUGUAAUCUAUUAGCAUAUACCAAAUUUAUCAUAAAAUAUAACUUAUAGUUUAUUCCAAUUAAAUUGCUUGCAUUUUAACACAGAAUAAAUGUUAUUAAUUUGAUAAAGUGCUGAUAGAUUUAUAUGAUUACAGUGCGUUAAUUUUUCGGAAUUAUAUAAUGGCAUAAUUAUCAUUGAUUUUUGUGUUUAUUAUAUGCACUUGUAUGAUUAACAAUGCGAAAGAUUCAGGAUACCUUCGGGACCCGUCUUGAAACACGGACCAAGGAGUCUAACAUAUGUGCAAGUUAUUGGGAUAUAAACCUAAUAGCGUAAUUAACUUGACUAAUAAUGGGAUUAGUUUUUUAGCUAUUUAUAGCUAAUUAACACAAUCCCGGGGCGUUCUAUAUAGUUAUGUAUAAUGUAUAUUUAUAUUAUUUAUGCCUCUAACUGGAACGUACCUUGAGCAUAUAUGCUGUGACCCGAAAGAUGGUGAACUAUACUUGAUCAGGUUGAAGUCAGGGGAAACCCUGAUGGAAGACCGAAACAGUUCUGACGUGCAAAUCGAUUGUCAGAAUUGAGUAUAGGGGCGAAAGACCAAUCGAACCAUCUAGUAGCUGGUUCCUUCCGAAGUUUCCCUCAGGAUAGCUGGUGCAUUUUAAUAUUAUAUAAAAUAAUCUUAUCUGGUAAAGCGAAUGAUUAGAGGCCUUAGGGUCGAAACGAUCUUAACCUAUUCUCAAACUUUAAAUGGGUAAGAACCUUAACUUUCUUGAUAUGAAGUUCAAGGUUAUGAUAUAAUGUGCCCAGUGGGCCACUUUUGGUAAGCAGAACUGGCGCUGUGGGAUGAACCAAACGUAAUGUUACGGUGCCCAAAUUAACAACUCAUGCAGAUACCAUGAAAGGCGUUGGUUGCUUAAAACAGCAGGACGGUGAUCAUGGAAGUCGAAAUCCGCUAAGGAGUGUGUAACAACUCACCUGCCGAAGCAACUAGCCCUUAAAAUGGAUGGCGCUUAAGUUGUAUACCUAUACAUUACCGCUAAAGUAGAUGAUUUAUAUUACUUGUGAUAUAAAUUUUGAAACUUUAGUGAGUAGGAAGGUACAAUGGUAUGCGUAGAAGUGUUUGGCGUAAGCCUGCAUGGAGCUGCCAUUGGUACAGAUCUUGGUGGUAGUAGCAAAUAAUCGAAUGAGACCUUGGAGGACUGAAGUGGAGAAGGGUUUCGUGUGAACAGUGGUUGAUCACGAGUUAGUCGGUCCUAAGUUCAAGGCGAAAGCCGAAAAUUUUCAAGUAAAACAAAAAUGCCUAACUAUAUAAACAAAGCGAAUUAUAAUACACUUGAAUAAUUUUGAACGAAAGGGAAUACGGUUCCAAUUCCGUAACCUGUUGAGUAUCCGUUUGUUAUUAAAUAUGGGCCUCGUGCUCAUCCUGGCAACAGGAACGACCAUAAAGAAGCCGUCGAGAGAUAUCGGAAGAGUUUUCUUUUCUGUUUUAUAGCCGUACUACCAUGGAAGUCUUUCGCAGAGAGAUAUGGUAGAUGGGCUAGAAGAGCAUGACAUAUACUGUUGUGUCGAUAUUUUCUCCUCGGACCUUGAAAAUUUAUGGUGGGGACACGCAAACUUCUCAACAGGCCGUACCAAUAUCCGCAGCUGGUCUCCAAGGUGAAGAGUCUCUAGUCGAUAGAAUAAUGUAGGUAAGGGAAGUCGGCAAAUUAGAUCCGUAACUUCGGGAUAAGGAUUGGCUCUGAAGAUUGAGAUAGUCGGGCUUGAUUGGGAAACAAUAACAUGGUUUAUGUGCUCGUUCUGGGUAAAUAGAGUUUCUAGCAUUUAUGUUAGUUACUUGUUCCCCGGAUAGUUUAGUUACGUAGCCAAUUGUGGAACUUUCUUGCUAAAAUUUUUAAGAAUACUAUUUGGGUUAAACCAAUUAGUUCUUAUUAAUUAUAACGAUUAUCAAUUAACAAUCAAUUCAGAACUGGCACGGACUUGGGGAAUCCGACUGUCUAAUUAAAACAAAGCAUUGUGAUGGCCCUAGCGGGUGUUGACACAAUGUGAUUUCUGCCCAGUGCUCUGAAUGUCAAAGUGAAGAAAUUCAAGUAAGCGCGGGUCAACGGCGGGAGUAACUAUGACUCUCUUUAGAUGUAAGCAAGGCAUUUGAUUCUCUAUCACAUGCAUCUAUAUACGACACCUUACGUGCUUAU